GAGAUCUUCAGAUGAGAAAGCAGGUCACUCAUCUCCCAGCUGCUGAGGGCCUUCUCUUGAGGAAACAGGUUCAUAAUGAUCUUCAAAGGAAAAAAAUGGUACCCUAUAACUGGGACAUUCAGUCAGAAUGGAAAUCAGAUGGAAGGAGUCUCCGGAGAUCUCCAGCUCCAGACAUUUGUGUCCGCAGCUGUUACAUUCCAUCCAUUUCCUGUCCUGCUCCCAGCCUGCUGAGCAAUGCCAAAGGACAUCGUGUCCCCAGGCACGCUGACUCUCCUACACACCCAGACGAUCUAACUCAGCUAGCUCUUAACAUCCAGAGAGUUAUUUGGGUCACUCCCUGCCAGAGUCCUGCCAAAAGCCCUUUCCCAUUCCCUCAUCCUCUAGCUCUUGUCCACUUCUCAGACUCCCGUCCAUAAAAUGAUCUCCCCUGGGAGUUCAAUAAAAAGAAAGAGCAAGGUCA